rnacentral:rRNA from 1 species
GUAGGUGGCAAGCGUUGUCCGGAAUUAUUGGGCGUAAAGCGCGCGCAGGUGGUUCUUUAAGUCUGAUGUGAAAGACCCCCGGGCUCAACCGGGGAGGGUCAUUGGAAACUGGGGAACUUGAGUGCAGGAGAGGAAAGUGGAACUCCACGUGUAGCGGUGAAAUGCGUAGAUAUGUGGAGGAACACCAGUGGCGAAGGCGACUUUCUGGCCUGUAACUGACACUGAGGCGCGAAAGCGUGGGGAGCAAACAGGAUUAGAUACCCUGGUAGUCCACGCCGUAAACGAUGAGUGCUAAGUGUUGGGGGGUUUCCGCCCCUCAGUGCUGCAGCUAACGCAUUAAGCACUCCGCCUGGGGAGUACGGUCGCAAAGACUG